GACGAACGCUGGCGGCGUGCCUAAUACAUGCAAGUCGAACGCAUUUUCUUUCACCGUAGCUUGCUACACCGAAAGAAAAUGAGUGGCGAACGGGUGAGUAACGCGUGGGUAACCUGCCCAUCAGCGGGGGAUAACACUUGGAAACAGGUGCUAAUACCGCAUAAUUCCAUUUACUGCAUGGUAGAUGGAUGAAAGGCGCUUUUGCGUCACUGAUGGAUGGACCCGCGGUGCAUUAGCUAGUUGGUGGGGUAACGGCCUACCAAGGCUGCGAUGCAUAGCCGACCUGAGAGGGUGAUCGGCCACACUGGGACUGAGACACGGCCCAGACUCCUACGGGAGGCAGCAGUAGGGAAUCUUCGGCAAUGGACGCAAGUCUGACCGAGCAACGCCGCGUGAGUGAAGAAGGUUUUCGGAUCGUAAAACUCUGUUGUUAGAAAAGAACAAGGAUGAGAGUGGAAAGUUCAUCCCUUGACGGUAUCUAACCAGAAAGCCACGGUUAACUACGUG
rnacentral:rRNA from 1 species